rnacentral:lncRNA from 1 species
CCCCCCGCUGUCUCCCUCCCACCGCAGGCUGGUUGGGGUCUUUUCUCAGAGCCAUGGGUAACAGCAGGUGGCCAUGGGUAACAGCCCCAUAUGGCUGCCAGAUUUGGCAAAUACAAAUACAGGAUACUUGGUUAAACUUGAAUUUCAGAUAAAUAAUUUUGAAGUAUGUCCUAUGUAAUAUUUGGGACAUACUGUACUAUAAAGUGAUUUAUUGUUUAAUGCAAAAUUUACAUUUAAUUGGCUAAUCCUGUAUCGUGUCUGGCAAUGUACCCUCUGGCUACUUCAUCCCUCUUUUCUUCAGUCCCAGGGGCCAGAGGUUGGUUACCACAGAUUUGAUUUAACCUGUUUUUUGAACUGCAAUAUUGAGAGGGGACACUGUGGCUUGAAGAUAUAUGAAUACACUUUAUUUUUUAAGCAACAACAAAACAGGAAACUUCUGAAGCCAUUGAGCCUCAUCUGACCCCUCCAUGUGCAUUUAGUUAUAUAUUAUAAAAGAAGAUGCUAUCUAUAAACAUACGAGCAGAAUCUUGUUUAAUCAAGAUGCAUGUCUACAAAACUGUAAAUAGCCGCAUGGCAAUGCUGAGUGUCCCCUUGAUCUCCCAACCCCAAACCCAUUUUACAAAACUGGCUGCUCCUUGAUUUUAUGUUGUGUAAAGUCUUUGUCCACUGUCUCACCCUAUGUCCCCUACAGGGAAUGUCCGCAAUGGGAGACAACAUUCUGGGCCCGGUGCCAGCCCUGGCCGGGGAGGAUGCCCCGGGGCAGGUCUGCUGCAUGUCUGUCUGCAGGGCUAACCCUUGCAGCACAGUGCACUGUGUCUGGCCUGUGUCUGGUGUCCCAUUGCUUUUAUGUUCCAUGUGUGUGGUGUGGUUCCUUUCUUCCCACUGUCUUGAAUAAACUGAAAAGCCAUAAUGGGGUCUCCUCCUGGAGGCUGCCCUUGACACCUCCCAGGAGCACCCCGUCCCUCCAACUGGCUCCCCACAGAACACUUGUGAAGGGCUCACCUGUCCGUUACCCUCUGUUGCUCCCUCAGCCCUGUGUCAUGAGGACAGUCGGUGUUUCAGGGCUUCUGGUGGGGUCCCAGGAGAUGACUGUGGCUGGCUUUCUUGGCUUACAUCUGAUGGUGGGACUCAACUCUACCCUGGGUAUAGGCAGGGCAAUGGUGUGUCUCUGUGGCCUACAUACCAUCUUCGAGGCCUGCAGAGGCAGCCAGGGUUCUCAGGAGCAGUCAGCAGCCUGUAGCCUAGGAUGAACAAGACUAGCCCAGCCUACUUCUCCCUGAGCCUUCACAGAGAGCAGUGGAGGAGUGACCCAUGGGGAAAACCAAGAACUGCAGUAGACUCUCCACGCACACCCUCUCUUUGGCCUGGCAGUGCCACAAGAGCAGGGUGGCCCUGAGAGCAAGGUGGAAGGUGUGGCAAUGAGUGGUGACUCAUAACAGGGGAACACUAAGCUCUGACCCUCAUACUGGCUCCCAGGGCAGCCUGAGCAGGCAUGACAAGUGGUGACCAUAUGGGUAGAGAGAACUGCAGCAGCUUGGUGACCUGCAGGACUCCUCAGGAGGGCAGCCAUGUUACUAAGCCAGGGAACCACAGGCAGAGUUGGGCAAGUUUAUUGGAUAAAGCCAGAGGCAACAAGGGGAAUCUGCCAUUUACAAACCAUGAUGCUUGAGCAAGUCCAAGCUUUUGUGCUAUUGACAAAAACAGGGCAACUGGAGCAACCAUUUCAGUGUAGACUGGGGUUGGCUGGAGUCCCCCACUACUUUCUGCAGAAACAGAAACUGGGAACAGUGGCAGGAGAGCCUGGCAAGGUGUGGGGAGCAGCGUGUGGGCCUCAGUUUCACCCCAGCUUUCCUCAGCAGCCAGGAGUUUAGGAGAUGACCAGGAAGCCUGACCAUCCUGCCUGACUCCUCUUCAUCUAAGGACUUGAUGUUCUCUCUGAAAACCCUGGGCCCAGAAACUUUCAAAACUAGGGCUGGGGCAGAAUCUCAGUGAGCCCACGUUACCCCUGGAAUGCACUGGCCCCACCAGGAGCCCUCCCUGUUUUCACAGGAAGGACACGUGUAGCCCUCCCCCUGCCCACUCUGCUUGGCACUGCUCUCUCCAUUCCCUUGUGUGGACUCUGUUCUUGUCUCAUCUCUUGUCAAACUGUUAUUUUGUAAUGAGCUGCGUCUCCUUAUUAAAGAAAAGAGCUGAAAGC